GGAUGCAAAUCUGAUCAAAUGUUGAAGAUAUGAUUCAGGAUAUUGUUGUAACAAAUCAUCAGAUGCAAAAGCUCGAUCCAAUCGCUCCCAAACUCUAGAAGUUCCAGAUUGAUUAUUACACUAAGUAAAUCUAGAACCCUCAUACCCCAGAUCAAUUAAACCAGUUGAAGAUGUAAACUGAUGAAAUUCCCUAACACCUCUAUUCAUAUGAAAAGGUUUACCACCCAACUUGUCGUAAGGAGAAAAAAUACAAUUGAAAUCACCCAUAAA
rnacentral:lncRNA from 1 species